rnacentral:misc_RNA from 1 species
GGUGACACGAUAGAACUCUCAACUCAGCUGUCUGAUUAAAUCUUAGGCUCAUAAGCUCUUGUCAUCUGGUUGAUAUAGAGGGAAGCUCAUCAUCUCGUACAAGUGCUGCCCUCUCAGGAUUCAUUAGCAUAAGCUGUUGCAUGUCCUUUGGGAGGACAUGAAACACUGCCUGAAGAUCCUCCCUUAGUUUGCUGCUAGUGACAUCAGAACCUUCUUCAAGAGUGGUGGACUGCUGUAACUCUCCAAGAAGAUGCCUUUCAAUUGCAUUGAAAGUAUCAACUAUCUCCAACUCAGACAUUUUAGAUAUAAAAUGUUGUAUGUCAG